GACGAACGCUGGCGGCGUGCUUAACACAUGCGAGUCGUACGGUAAGGCCCUUUCGGGGGUCCACGAGUGGCGAACGGGUGAGUAACACGUGAGUAACCUGCCCACAACUUUGGGAUAACGCUAGGAAACUGGUGCUAAUACUGGAUAUGUGCUCCUGCUGCAUGGUGGGGGUUGGAAAGCUCCGGCGGUUGUGGAUGGACUCGCGGCCUAUCAGCUUGUUGGUGGGGUAGUGGCCUACCAAGGCGGCGACGGGUAGCCGGCCUGAGAGGGUGACCGGCCACAGUGGGACUGAGAGACGGCCCAGACUCCUACGGGAGGCAGCAGUGGGGAAUAUUGCACAAUGGGCGCAAGCCUGAUGCAGCAACGCCGCGUGCGGGAUGACGGCCUUCGGGUUGUAAACCGCUUUCAGCAGGGACGAAGCUUUUUGUGACGGUACCUGCAGAAGAAGCACCGGCUAACUACGUG
rnacentral:rRNA from 1 species